UUGCUGAUUGUCACUUUGCAUCAUUCUAGGGCCUGCUCUUCAGCAGGAAGACACUUCUGUGGAUGCUGCAGAGGACGAGGAAGCUGUGGGACUGCAGCAAGCCAGGCCUGCUCUUCAGCAGGAAGACACUUCCAUGAAUGCU